rnacentral:rRNA from 1 species
AUGGUCGCCAAGUCCGACCUCGCCCGCGUGCUCUACGCCCGCCGCCUAGGAACGUCCCAAGAGCACCAUCAACGUCCACUGCUUCCUCUCCGUCCACGAGCUCGAGCUCGAAGUCCAUACAUCGGGUGGAUCGGGAGGCUUCAUGGCCUAUGGUUGUCGCUCCCUCGCCGCGGAUCCACGCUCAGGCAAGCCCCUGACCCGUCCGAGCUCGCCGUUAGCCAUCCCCUGAUGACGGAGUCUAGGAGCCAGAUGCCACCUUCGACUACGACUACUACAAACCCGAGGGUGCCUACUACUACGUGGAGGCCAUCGACGACAACAGGAGUAGUUAGCAGGCUCCCAGGCAGGAGGCCUUGCCUUUUCGAUCAUGUUGCUUUUGUGCUAGCCUUCUUAAGGCAAACUUGUUUAACUUAUGUCUCUACUCAGAUAUUGUUGCUUCCGCUGACUAUUUGUAUUCAAGCUAUGUAUUCGAGCCCUCGAUGCCCCUGGCUUGUAAUAUAA